UGUGACCUCAAAUCAGGUAGGACUACCCGCUGAACUUAAGCAUAUCAAUAAGCGGAGGAAAAGAAACUAACAAGGAUUCCCCUAGUAACUGCGAGUGAAGCGGGAAAAGCUCAAAUUUAAAAUCUGGCAGUCCUUUAACUGCCCGAGUUGUAAUCUAGAGAAGUGUUAUCUGCGCUGGACCGUG
rnacentral:rRNA from 1 species